rnacentral:rRNA from 1 species
UACGUAGGGUGCGAGCGUUAAUCGGAAUUACUGGGCGUAAAGCGUGCGCAGGCGGUUUUGUAAGCCAGAUGUGAAAGCCCCGGGCUUAACCUGGGAAUGGCAUUUGGGACUGCAAGGCUUGAGUGCGGCAGAGGAGACUGGAAUUCCUGGUGUAGCAGUGAAAUGCGUAGAUAUCAGGAGGAAUACCGAUGGCGAAGGCAGGUCUCUGGGCUGACACUGACGCUCAUGCACGAAAGCGGGGGGAGCAAACAGG